AGCCCCCGCGCCAACCCGUUCCGCAAGCGCCGCCGUCCCUGAGUCCCGGCGCCUCCCUCGACGUCAACGCCGGCUCCACGAGGAGCUGCCGUGCCUCCGUUGCGAGGAGCUAUCCUGCCGUCGUCGUGAGGAGGUCCGGCCUCCUACUCGCUCCUCCGCUCCUUGACGUGCCUGCAUCUUAAUCUAUAUCAAGGUUAUCCCAAAGAGGGCCUUGAUGUCGAGGGAUUGUGACCAAGCACGGAGCCUCUGCACCAUGGGAUUUGAGUUGGAGGGCCCUUGGGAAAUUGGUAUUUGCUCACCAAAUCUGCAAUAGUGUAGAUCGAAUCCUCUCUAUGCAUCUCCGGAACAACCAGGUCCCCUUGCAGCGGGUGAUGCAAGCCCCAGCAGCGCUUGAGAUCCAGCUGGGGCCGUCCCCCUUGAUUUUCUUCUCGAUCCGGUGAUAAUCGACGAGAUCCAGUAUGUCUUCAGCUUCAUGCAGGAUGGACUUGAGAUCAUUUUCAAUCUUCCUGAGCAUCGCGAGAUCAGAUUCAGAUCCCUUGCCUUUCACUUCUCCGAGCAUCCUCUGCUCCUCCACUUUUCUCACCGUCUCCUUGAGGCUUGGGAUAGUGUCGAUCUCCAGCUUCCGAAGCUUUCUUGAUGUGUCAAGGGAGAGGUUGGCAAAGAACUUGUUCACAAGGAAGCUGAGUACGGGUGACAGCAGCCAACCCAUGAUGACGAUGCUCGAGCCUACUGCUUCAAUUCCCCACGGAUUUGCCAUGGAUUGGAACUCUAAGCUCUCACGGAGGACAGGGGAAGAGGCUGGAGGAAGAUGACGGACGGGGCGAAUGGUAGUGACACACACGCACUAUGUGGCUAGCUAGAUAGCCAUAAUGUGAACACACUUACACACCACAGCGCCGCUAUUAAAGGGAGCUCUGCUUCCACCAACAGAUAAAGACGAGCUCGCUCUUGCCGCACGAAGCUUGUUUUUUCAGCUAUGUAUUCUCAACAUGUACACACGAGCAUAUACAUGCAUGGACGUCCACGCAUUCUAGCGUGCUUCUUUUUUUCUCUUUUA